rnacentral:rRNA from 1 species
CAUGUCCUUUUGAUUAUAAUUUAAGGUCUGAUCUGCUCAAUGAUUUUUAAAUAGCCGCAGUAUUUUAACUGUGCAAAGGUAGCAUAAUAAUUAGUCUCUUAAUUAGGGGCUUGUAUGAAUGAUUGGACGAGAAAAUUUCUGUCUCCUUUUAAUUGGUUUUUGAAUUUUAUUUUUAAGUUAAAAAGCUUAAAUUUUUAUAAAAGACGAGAAGACCCUAUAGAGUUUUAUAUCCAAAGAUUAUUAAUAUAUAGUAAUUUCUUUAUUUUUUGGGUAUUUAGUUGGGGUGACUUGGAGAUUAAAUUAAUUCUUUAAAUAUUAAGUUGAUGAUUUUUAAAUUCAAAAUCUAUUUUUUUAAGUUUAAAAUUAAUUACCUUAGGGAUAACAGCGUAAUAUUUCUUUAAAGCUCUUAUUGAAAGGAAAUUUUGCGACCUCGAUGUUGGAUUAAAAUUAAUUUUUGGUGCAGUAACUUAAAAAUUGGGUCUGUUCGACCUUUAAAAUU